GGGUGUGAGGGUAAUCCAGCUAUGACAAAGGUCAUUCCACUGGCUGACCAGGUUUAUUUGGCUGAUCUUGUUGGCUAGGCUGAUGUCCCCUCCCUCCCUCUAUGUCCUGAAGCUGUGCACUUGGUGGAAGAAGAGAACCAGCCCAAAUGCAAGGAGUGAACCGUUCUUUGCUCAAGGAUACAGGAUAGCUGCACUUGCCUACUAGAAACGACAAACAUUUUAAAAAGAAUUACCUUUGUACUUCUAAAACUCCAAGGAAGCUCUAAAAAUUCUGAUCACUAGAAGUGAUGAAGGACUGUCCUUUACAAAAGGCAACU
rnacentral:snRNA from 1 species